AGAAGAACCGCCGCCUUCGUCCUCACUUUCCCCCGCUCCACGAUCGUAGUUAUUCUUUUCCUUCCGCACUUUUUCGAUAUUCUGCCUGCCAUACUGUAAAAAAAUCAGGGCAAUAUUACAACCAUGAAAAUAUUUUAAUGAAAAUAUCUCAACUCCACCGACUCAAUUUUACACUACAAAACGGACGGCCAGUCCUCCGCAGGUUCGCUCAAGGUAUUAGAUAAUUAGGAAGUGUUUGAAAGGUGCAGAACAUUUCUGGAAAUUUGGGAGACAUUUCAAAGACUCUACAACUUCCUGAGGCAAACAAGGACCUUUCUGCGUGAACCUACGAAACAUCUGGCUGAGGAGAGUGAAGAUCCGCUCGCUAGUGGGACUCAUUACUGGCCACUGGCCCCUGGAUUUUCAUCUGGCGAAAAUAGGCAGGGAAAACUACCCCACAUGCCCUAAAUGCGGACUCACAGGAGAGCAUCCGCAUCACCUAAGCACUGGAUGCAGUGAUCUGAAUGAUAUCCGGUGGGAUGUCUUCAGGACCACGUGCAUCAAGGACAUAUACUUUGGUAGGGACGGAAUAGAAGGGCCCUAUGAGUUCACUCGGAGGGUCAACAUGCUGGUAUGGCCUAUAAACUAGGCAGCUGUCAACGGGCAGGGGGCAAAAUGGCCGGAAGGCUCAUUGCACUUCCUCAUUUUGUGAGGAACGCUCGAUCACUAAAAGUCUAACCCCAAUAACUAUUAUUAAUUAUUAAUUAUAUGGCAAUAAGGGAUCGGUCAAAAGCUGAACUAUUAUGGAGGUCUAUCUUUAUUCACGACGAUGUUACAAUGAUUUUUUAUAUUUUUUUAUUAAUAAUUAUUAUCAAUGGUAUGAGAAUGGUGGGCUUACGAAAUUCAGAAAAUUUUCUACAGUUCUUUCAAAGAGAUUGUCUUGAUUAAUACCCUAUGUAGUGGGGAUUAAAAGAUUUGGUAUUUUUGGUAUUUAUCCCCUCCCCCCCAGUCGACGUUGAUAAUUACUUAUUUGUAAUUUCUUCCUCUAUUUACUCAUUUCUUAAUAUUUAUUAAAAAUCGUCUUUGAAACUGUUCCUUUCUGAGUAGUUGAAAAAAUAUAUUUCUGUAAUUUUUGGGGAUCCCCUAGCGACGAAAAAUCAGUGUAAAAUUACAUGACUUUUUAGAUAAAGAAAUUGAUUGAAAAAUAAUUUAGAUAACGCUUGGAAUGGAGUAUAUCCGAACCUUAAUAUAAAUCAAUAUGGAUGAAUAUCGGUCUGAGUUAAUCAUUGAAGAUUACCGUUGGGACGUUCCCAUACAUUGAGAGAAAUAACGAGUGAAACUCAAAGAAAUAUUUCAUCCAAUAAUACCAAAGCAAUAUUUUCCUAGAUCACUGCAAAUUCGUUUGCUUCGAUUUAUUGUUAGCCAUUUCGAAAAAUUGAUUGCCUUCAAAUACGACAAAUAUCAUUAAAAUGAAAAAUUCAUUCCUUUUUGAAAAACAUUUCUUUGCCACUGUCCAAGAAUAUAUUUUUUUAUUCAUUCAUUUUUUUGCUCGGUGCACAUACAAAUAACAUUUAUGCACUCAAACAUAGGGUUCAAAUUUAUGACCUUGAAUAUAACUUUGGUACUAUUAAAAGAACAUUUAAAAUUGCUUUAACUUUGUGAAAAAUGAACUGAUGUGAUUGACGGUUCAUUUGACUUGUCGCGACAUUCUCUAUAAUUGUUGAACAUCUGUUGUGUCCAAAAUUAAUUUUACUUAUCCAAAAAAUCUAGAUGAGAGUAAUGGUUUUAUUUUCAAAACUCUUACCCUAUUGUAACGCUUAAAAAAAAAAUGAGAAAUCGUUGUUAAGGUCUACAGAUCGAUUGGAGCCCCCGAUUGCGAUCCAAAAACGCUGAUUUUUCAUUCAACCAUACCCUUGGUGAGAGAUAAUCUAUUUCUUUAUAUUUAUGUAAUGAUUGAUUGCCAAGAAACAAGAGAAAAUUAUGAAUGAUAUUUCGUGACAUAUGCCACUUGAGCAGAAAUUUUAUUUUUCCAAGGCUCGACUUGUUUUUCAAUCCUAUGUUUAAGUUCUUUUUGUGUUAACUUCAGGGUCAUAAAUAAUAUAUUAUUUUUCGAUUUGUCGUUAUUUAAUGACCCAAAAAUUUUCAUAGUUGUGGAUCCAUUAUUCUAAAUUGUUGUAAAGAUUUAGUGAGAAAGUAGAAAAAUUCUUCCACCGUGAUGGAACUUCGUGAGCCAUUGACAAAUUAAAGAAAAACCAUAUAUUUUUGCACAUCAAUUUUAUGGAACGUUUUUCAGAAAUUUGUAAAAAGAAAUGAAAAGUCAGGCGUCGGUAAUAAACCGUUAAAGCCAAAUCUAGGAAAAUCCGAAUUUACAAACACUUUUUGGAUCGUGAACAGACCAUAUAACCAAAAAAGUCCAACACUCAAAUUUCCAUCACAUAAACAUCCUUUAAUUACUUCUACGUCAAUCAAUUUUGUAGUGUAUCCUGAGUGGAUUGGCCUGGCUGGAUUAAUUGAGGAAAUAAUUGACGGUCCAUUCAUCGAUUGAUGAGAAUUAAUUAUCUGCCUGACGGUUCUGUAUAUGAAUAUGGCAAUAAAAAUUGGAGACUGAUACAUUGGUCAAUUGUAAAAAAAAUGACAUGAUCACAGACUUUCGUCACUGUAGAUUAACAAAAAAUGAGGCAGCAGUUUAUUAGCAGUAACUACAGAAUUUAUGAUCCGUAGUUCAGGAUGUCAUGAGCAUAACAAGUUAAAGCUACAUAAACAUUCUGAACGAAUGCAAACCGAGUCCAAAUAUCAAUGUCCAAGGGAGAUUUCCUACUGAAGAUUAAUUCCAAAAAAUUAGUCCAUAAUUACUCUUAAUAGGAUAAUUUUUAGAGUGAUUUUAUGUUUACAGAAUGAACGAAAAUUGUGCUAGACCGGGAGUUCUUCUAGCUAAUAGGAGGAAUUCGGCCGACAUUCGGAUAUUUUUAUUAGACCUCUUUACGUAAAAUUAAUGAAUUGUUUACCUCGAAUAAUGUGAGAAGUAGCUUGAUAUAAAGUUUCCUUAUUCCAAGUGAUUUACCGAUUGAUGCCAGAAAUAUAAUGGCAAGUAAGAACAUAAGAAACGGUGUCAAAAAUAGUGAAAAUGUGAAAGAUACCACUGACAUGAGCAGCGCCAUUUUGCAUACUUGCUGGUACUGACGGAUAGUGGAUUUUUACUUUUGAUCGUGUUUUCUCCCGAUUAGUAUGUAUAUAGUCGAGAAGUGAUUGUUAAAAAAAAUAAUUCUAUUGUUUGUACUUGGUUUGUACUUGUUUGCACUGAAGUUGAAAUGGAAGCUUAGACUGGAAACUGUCGUGGUGGAAGGCAUGCAGGAAAGUGUCAUGGCGGCUCAUGAACGAUGCAUUCUCAUGAAAAUCGCAACCGGCGCCAGUGUUUCUGGAAAAGUGCGCGUAAAUUAAAAAAUGGACAGAUAAUCAGAAUGAAAAGUGCUACGAUAAACUCAGAGGUGUGUGAUUUGUAAUGAUGAUAAUGUUUGAAAUGAGUGAAAUUAUAAAUUUUUUUUUUCUGAUGAGAAUGAAGAAUUGAGAGAUCAAAUUAACAUGAAGUUGGGGUAAUUGAUGAUUCAAGUCAGAGAGGAUUGACUAAAGUAGAGGCUGUGAUGUCCUGGGGGUGAAUAGUAUAGAUAUCGCCAGUAAUCAGUCAUUUUAAUCCAACAGUUUUUGAAUUAUUAUUUCAAGAUAAAAUUUCAAUGCCGGAGGAAAAUUUUGGGAAAAAUCCAAAAGAACAGUCAUAGUGACAAACAAUGAACAAGGGAUGAAUAAAUUGACUGUCGUGAGAAAAACCGUUGCACGAAAACAUAAAUGUCCAGUUGUUGAGUGCUAAUCUAAUUUAUUACCCUCAAAAACUCUGCAUAAAGGCUGUUCUUUGAAAAACCAAAACUUGGAGACAAAAGUCAAUUCAAAUUCAUUACAUGACUUAUUCAUUCCUCAGUGUCCUUAUUAUAAAGUUAUAUAAAUAAAAAAUUCACACAAUUCUACCAAAAAAA